UGACUUGGAAGAAAUGUAAUAUUUUUUUUCCAGCAAUGGCUUCUCAAAAGAAAGCAUCAUUUGUAAAUGUCUCUUUAACAAACAUCAACCAACCAGAGGGCUUUCUGCCAUGCUGAGGAACACUGCAUACUAUAGAUCUGACUCAAGUAGUCCCUGCCAAAACGUCUGGGUUUCGUUGUUCAAAACAACCUUAGCGCUAAGACUACCUAACCUCUAUGUUAAGGUAUGGGAGUUACGAUCACCUUAGCGCUAAGAUCGUUUUGUAACUGUAGGAGUAUGUAAUUAUGUAUAAAAUGCAAGUGUAUUUUAAUUUGUAUUUUAAUCACUAAGUCUAGCCCUAGCUUAACCACUCAAUCUAACCUGCUUCACUUUCACAAUAGCACUGUCACCCUUGCGCUUACGUUGUCUAUUGUCUCUAUUGUCUUGCCCCACCCCCAGGCCCCUUAGUUUCAAUAGCAGGGUGUUUUGUGGGUCAGCUAUCAUUUUCACUUCAGUCUGUCUGGUCACUGGUCAUAGCUCACAACAGCUUAUAACAGGUGUGGCAAACAUAUUUCCUGACGUUUGUGACGUCAAAGGGGCACAGUGCCAUACACUCGGUGAGGGUUCCUUCUUAUUAUAUUGUAAAUAAUUAUGUUAUGUUCUUGUAUGAUUCUACACGUGUAUGUUGACAUAUAAACAUUAUAUACAUAUAUACACACAUGUCUGCUCUGUGACCUGGUUAAUCAUUAAUGAUUGUAUUGCUUAUAUAUGAUCGUAGUACUUACUGCUAAGCCUCACAUGUGUUGGCCCAUGAAGUAUUGUGGCGUAUUUUUAUGCAAUGUAUUUAUUUUCUUCAGUUAUUAUUGCCAUUAAACUGGCAUCUACAGAAA